CUUUUUCUCUCUUCUCUGAGGACUGGCUUCAAAAAUUUCGAAUACACUAACUCUCUGUCAUCAAAGGUCGUAAAUCUAAUUAUUAUAGGCCUAGGACCUGCACCUUCGUACGCCAUUCUGUGACAGUUUAUGAACUGCAUGUUCCUCACCCUUUCUUCACUUAAUUCUAACUUAUCUUGAAAAAAAGUUUUCAUUUUGGUGUCUAGGUCUUCAUUACUUUCUUCUGUGAAACCAUAGAAGAGAAGAUUGUAUUUCCUAUCUUGCUUUUCAAGCAUCAAUAAUUUUCUUUUCAUAUCCUCUAUUUCAUAGUUGAGCUUAUUAAACUUGGUGUUUUGUAACUCUAAAGAUUCAUCUUGUCUUUCAGCAUGAAAGCUGACACUAUUCUCUAGAGGUUGCACACUUGGUUCAAGCGAGCGAAAUGGUUGCAAACUUACAAAAUGGCGGAUAUUUUCUGAAAUCAUUGCCUGUUCGCUUGUUUUUUUAUCAGGCAAAAAUGCAAGACUGAGACAGCGAUGGAAUUCUCCUCUGGAAUGUGGUACUUGCGAAAAGAAAUUCCGUUCACGGUUUGUGCUUCAACGUCAUUUGUCAUCACGUGAAACAACAAACUACAAGGAUACAUGAUUUGUUCAUAAAAACUGUUUUUCGUAAAAUAUUAUCACAUGUAGUUUUGAUAGAAAAAAAAACAACACAUUUAUAUACAACAGUGAUGUAAUAACACAAUGACAUAAAUGCAUACGUUAUGUUUCAUUUCUAGAUUAAAUGUACAAAAAUAAUAUAUCCCAGUCUUAAGAUAUGAUUAUGAUGAAAAAUGUUUUGAACUCA
rnacentral:lncRNA from 1 species